UACGGAGGGUGCGAGCGUUGUCCGGAAUUACUGGGCGUAAAGCGCACGUGAGGCGGCUUUGCAAGUUAGAGGUGAAAGCCCGGAGCUUAACUCCGGAAUUGCCUUUAAAACUGCAUCGCUAGAAUUGUGGAGAGGUGAGGUGGAAUUCCGAGUGUAGAGGUGAAAUUCGUAGAUAUUCGGAAAGAACACCAGUGGCGAAGGCGACUCACUGGACACAUAUUGACGCUGAGGUGCGAAAGCGUGGGGAG
rnacentral:rRNA from 1 species